rnacentral:rRNA from 1 species
AUUCCAGCUCCAAUAGCGUAUAUUAAAGUUGUUGCGGUUAAAAAGCUCGUAGUUGGAGUUCUGCCAGGUGCCGCCUGUCCGCCCCAGUGGUGAGUACGUGGCGCGCAUUUGGCCCUUUCAAGGGGAGCGUAUCUGCACUUUAUUGUGUGGUGCGGGAUCCUUGACUUUUACUUUGAGGAAAUAGGAGUGUUCCAAGCAGGCUCUCGUCGUGCACAGCUCAGCAUGGAAUAAUAGCAUUGGACCUCGAUUCUAAGCUGUUGGUUGCCAGAAGCGAGGUAAUGAUGAACAGGGACAGUUGGGGGUAUUCAUAUUUACAUGUCAGAGGUGAAAUUCUUGGAUUUUGGAAAGAUGAAGUACUGCGAAGGCAUUUACCAAGGAUGUUUUCAUCA